GGCGUCAACUGGUAAAAAAAAAAAAACAUAUCCCUACACAAAAGGCUUUUAUCCCACAGAGCUUGUAAUCAGUCCAUAUGCUCCAGCCUAUGUAGCGAGAAAAAUAGAAUAAUAAUUAACUUCUAGUGGUUUCUCGAUUGCUGGAAGGCGGUUUCCGGUGCUGCUCGGUGGUUUUCAGGGCUGUUUUUUUAGGGUAUGGGGAGGAUGGGGGGUAGUCAGAUGACGUACUCGGUGAAUCCCGAUGACUAUAAGCUUCUAGAAGAGGUUGGCUAUGGUGCGAGUGCUACUGUGUAUAGAGCAAUCUAUCUUCCUUUCAACGAUGUCGUCGCCGUUAAGUGCUUGGAUCUCGAUCGGUGCAAUAGCAAUCUGGAUGACAUACGAAGGGAAGCACAGACCAUGCGUUUGAUAGACCAUCCAAAUGUGAUUAGGGCAUUUUGCUCAUUUGUUGUUGACCAAAAUCUUUGGGUGGUGAUGCCAUACAUGGAUCAGGGUUCUUGCUUGCAUCUAAUGAAGAUUGCCUAUCAGGAUGGGUUUGAAGAGGCUGCUAUUGGUUCCAUUCUGAAAGAAACUCUCAAGGCUUUGGAAUACCUGCAUCGACAAGGGCAUAUUCAUCGGGAUGUUAAGGCUGGAAACAUACUAUUGAAUGGAAAUGGCGAGGUAAAGCUUGCUGAUUUUGGUGUUUCAGCUUGCAUGUUUGAUAAAGGUGAUAGACAACGUGCUAGAAAUACUUUUGUGGGGACUCCAUGCUGGAUGGCACCAGAGGUUUUGCAGCCAGGAAGCGGAUAUAAUUCCAAGGCUGAUAUUUGGUCUUUCGGUAUAACAGCAUUGGAGUUGGCACAUGGUCAUGCUCCUUUCUCAAAAUACCCUCCAAUGAAGGUUCUUUUGAUGACCAUACAAAAUGCCCCUCCUGGACUUGAUUAUGAUCGUGAUAAAAAGUUCUCUAAGUCUUUUAAAGAAAUGGUUGCAAUGUGCCUGGUAAAAGAUCAAACAAAGAGGCCAACAGCUGAGAAGUUAUUAAAGCAUUCCUUUUUCAAGCAUGCAAAGCCUCCAGAGCUUUCUGUGAAAAAGUUAUUUGCAGAUUUGCCCUCUCUUUGGAAUCGUGUGAAAGCCCUUCAGCUUAAAGAUGCUGCACAGCUAGCUCUAAAGAAAAUGCCUUCAGCAGAACAAGAAGCUUUGUCCCAGAGUGAGUAUCAGAGAGGAGUUAGUGCUUGGAAUUUUGACCUAGAGGAUUUAAAAGCUCAAGCGUCACUUGUGCGAGAUGAUGAUGAUGAUAUGCCUGAGACAAGGGAAGAAGAUGAAUGCAUGAAACAAUUUGGUAGUGAUAAGUCUCUGUCUGAUGGUCAAUCCAGUUCUGUGAAACUGAACUCAAAUAGUGAAAUACAGCAAGUUGAGUGCAGAGCACGGACGGGUGCAGAUGAAUUGUCGCAUGCUGAGAGCUUGAUCAGAAAGGGCAAGCUCCUUGAAAGUGAUACUCUAGAAACUGGGAUCCAAGAGAAAUUUGGUUGGAAGAAAAAUGAUGCAACCAAUGAUGAAAAAGUAUCAACCUCUGAAAGGGACAUGACUCAGGAUAAGGCUAAAAUGGUGAAGGGCCGCCAAAGUCAGAGUGGGCCACUUGUGCCUGGUGCUGUACUUGGCCAUUCAUUGUCAGACAAGGGGCGUUUUUGGGAAAGGUCUGAGAAUGACAGUCAGCCAAUAACAGAGAAAACCACUCGUGAAGUUCGAAAAGCUCCAAGCUUUAGUGGUCCACUGAUGCUUCCAAACCGAGCUUCUGCAAACAGUUUAUCAGCUCCUAUAAAAUCUUCAGGAGGAUUUAGAGAUUCUUUGGAUGAGAAGUCAAAGGCUAAUCUAGUGCAAAUCAAGGGGCGAUUUUCAGUAACAUCAGAAAAUUUAGAUCUCGUAAAGGAUAUUCCAUUAAGUACAGUUCCACGUCGAUCUUCACAGGGAUCACCACUAAGAAAGUCUGCAAGUGUUGGUGAUUGGAUUUUUGAGUCCAAACAAACGGUUUGUCAUUGAACUCUUGAUCUCAAUGUAAUCUAGCUCUUGAUUUUAAAUAAAUUAUGGCCUCAUUUUUUUUCAACUAGCUUGAAGCUUUUAAUAAUAAAAAUGGUUUCGAAAACAAUAAAAGCAGUGCUUGGGUGUCUGGCUGCACGCAAUGCUGUAAGUGAGCAAGAUGUUGUAAUUCAGAUGCCCAUGCAUUCAUCAGUUUUACAGUUUGAUGUCAUUAUUUCUCAACAAUCAGCUAUCUCUUCCCCUCCCCCUUAGUUCACAUACACAUAUUUGGAGACAGGAAGGUGGAGCUUGUGUGCUGCAGAAUUCAUAGAUUCCUUUAUUAUGCUUGCCAUUGUAAUGAUUACCCAUUGCAGUUAUUUAUUCAAUGAAUAUCAUGUCCUUUUCUGUUUCUUCAGUCUACCAGUCAGUCUCCCAAGGAGAUCAGCAAUAGCAAUUUACCUGCAUCACUCCUUAUGCCUUACCUGCAGAACCUUUUUCAGCAGACCUCAAUUCAACAGGAUCUUAUUGUGAAUUUGUUCAAUAGCUUGCAACCAGCUGAAGCUGUAGAUGCAGUACAAAAUGGAAAGUUGCCACCAUUGCCUCGUGGUUCAGAGAAUAAUGGAAGUGUAAGUAUUUUAUUUUUCCUAUCAUGUUAUUUCCUCUCCCACUCCCUAUUUCUUCUCCUGAACGCGAAAAUAAGUCAUGAUAACCAAGUUAUUGAAUUUGACAUCUAGUGUUAAGAAAAACAACUUAUUGCAUGAUUACAUGUGUUUUCAUGAAUUUAUUUAAGCAUUUUUCUUGGGUCAUAGACCUUUUGAAGAGGAUAUCCUUUUCAAAAUACAAUGUUUUGUCAUAAUGGUAUUUUACUAUGCUAGUGGAUUUAGCUAAGGACGGUCAGAUAUUCAUUUCACUUGUGUGGAUACCAUUUUUAUAUUGUGGACUGGUGUCUUUUUGAAAAACUUUGUCUUUGAUUUUUCUUCUCCACAGAAAUUGACAUUCUCAGGUCAUGAUUUGAUUAUUUGAGAUGGUUUAAUUAUAUUCACUGCAGAUUUCAUUUUUUUAAAUGAGAUAUUAUGGUAAAACUUUUGUUUCUUUUUUAAAUUUAUUUUUUCCGUCCUAAUCGCCAAAUAAAUAAAUAAUUGUUCAUUGGUAAUGAUUUAAUUGAUGGAAGAAUGUGGUGUGAAAUAGUAAUUUCGUUGAGUGAUUUAUUAUAGAUGGAAUGUAUAGUGUCUGAUAUGUCAAUGAUACAGGUUGAAGCGGCACCUUCUGAGAGGGAACGAUUGUUGUUGAUGAAAAUUUCUGAGCUUCAAGCUAGGUUGAUCAUUUUGGUGAUCUGUCUUUUUCUUUAGCUAUUUUAACAUAUCAGUUUGUCUAAUGCUCUCAUUUCAUUUUUUCAGGAUGAUCAAUUUGACUGAUGAACUUAAUUCUGAAAGGCUGAAAUAUGUGCAGGUGAGCUGUUUAAGAGGUUUAUUUUUUUUACUCUUUUUGCCUUGCCUCACUUAUAAUCUUAUGCAUUGAUGAUUCAUGUCAGUGGUGUUGACGUUUAAUAGGAUUCACCCCAACUCCCCAGAUUGUUGAACUUGAAAUAUAUUAUGUACCUGUAUACAGAGGAAUUAUUUUAUGGAUAUUUUACCAUUGUCCACAGUUGCAGCAGCAGCUGAAAUCCAUACCUGGUCAGGAAGAAAAUGGAGAAAGAAGGGAACUGGAUGUCUGAAAGCUGAAAUGCUUAUUGCUGUAAAGUGAAACCAUCAUGUAAAUUCAGGGAGGAGAUGAACAUCAUGCAGAUACAUCAUCCUUUUUUCUUGGCUGGACUGCAAUUCUGUUAUACAUAUUUCCUUGCAGAUUCCAUUCGCCACAAUGACAACUAAGCAAACUUUACAGCUACAUCAGAAUGCAUUUUCAUUCAGUUUAUCAAAUUCAAGUGGAAUUAAGCUCCUCCUUGCACUGUGUGAAAUAGUAUCCAAAAACAUUUUUUUUUUAACCCGCAUUGUGAAGCAGUUGCCAUGAGAGAGUACAAAGCUUCGAGUGUUCAAAUCUACAUCUUCUCUUUAUAGUGUUUAUUCAAGUGUAUUAUUCUGUUCAUAGCGACCUGAUCUUGUAUAUGUUGUUGGUAGAACCUAGUGCUGUUUCUUUUUCGUAUUUAUUUAUAAAGUUGCGCUAGUUCCAAGUAUGUAGCAACGGUUUGGAAUUUUGCAGCUCUUUGAAAAUGGUAAUAAACGAAGUCAUCAAUCUAUGAUUCUGUAGCUCAUGAAUUAUGAAUUAUGGUCGUCGACUGGUUUGCUG
rnacentral:misc_RNA from 1 species